GCCGGGCGCGGUGGCACACGCCUGUCAGCCCAGCAGCUCUGGAGGCUGAGGCAGGAGGAUCACGAGUUCAAAGCCAGCCUCAGCAAAAGCCAGGUGCUGAGCAACUCAGUGAGCCCCUGUCUCUA
rnacentral:sRNA from 1 species